AGUCGAACGAUGAAGCCCAGCUUGCUGGGUGGAUUAGUGGCGAACGGGUGAGUAACACGUGAGUAACCUGCCCUUAACUCUGGGAUAAGCCUGGGAAACUGGGUCUAAUACCGGAUAGGAGCGUCCACCGCAUGGUGGGUGUUGGAAAGAUUUAUCGGUUUUGGAUGGACUCGCGGCCUAUCAGCUUGUUGGUGAGGUAAUGGCUCACCAAGGCGACGACGGGUAGCCGGCCUGAGAGGGUGACCGGCCACACUGGGACUGAGACACGGCCCAGACUCCUACGGGAGGCAGCAGUGGGGAAUAUUGCACAAUGGGCGAAAGCCUGAUGCAGCGACGCCGCGUGAGGGAUGACGGCCUUCGGGUUGUAAACCUCUUUCAGUAGGGAAGAAGCGAAAGUGACGGUACCUGCAGAAGAAGCACCGGCUAACUACGUGCCAGCAGCCGCGGUAAUACGUAGGGUGCGAGCGUUAUCCGGAAUUAUUGGGCGUAAAGAGCUCGUAGGCGGUUUGUCGCGUCUGUCGUGAAAGUCCGGGGCUUAACCCCGGGAUCUGCGGUGGGUACGGGCAGACUAGAGUGCAGUAGGGGAGACUGGAAUUCCUGGUGUAGCGGUGGAAUGCGCAGAUAUCAGGAGGAACACCGAUGGCGAAGGCAGGUCUCUGGGCUGUAACUGACGCUGAGGAGCGAAAGCAUGGGGAGCGAACAGGAUUAGAUACCCUGGUAGUCCAUGCCGUAAACGUUGGGCACUAGGUGUGGGGACCAUUCCACGGUUUCCGCGCCGCAGCUAACGCAUUAAGUGCCCCGCCUGGGGAGUACGGCCGCAAGGCUAAAACUCAAAGGAAUUGACGGGGGCCCGCACAAGCGGCGGAGCAUGCGGAUUAAUUCGAUGCAACGCGAAGAACCUUACCAAGGCUUGACAUGUUCUCGAUCGCCGUAGAGAUACGGUUUCCCCUUUGGGGYGGGUUCACAGGUGGUGCAUGGUUGUCGUCAGCUCGUGUCGUGAGAUGUUGGGUUAAGUCCCGCAACGAGCGCAACCCUCGUUCCAUGUUGCCAGCACGUCGUGGUGGGGACUCAUGGGAGACUGCCGGGGUCAACUCGGAGGAAGGUGAGGACGACGUCAAAUCAUCAUGCCCCUUAUGUCUUGGGCUUCACGCAUGCUACAAUGGCCGGUACAAUGGGUUGCGAUACUGUGAGGUGGAGCUAAUCCCAAAAAGCCGGUCUCAGUUCGGAUUGGGGUCUGCAACUCGACCCCAUGAAGUCGGAGUCGCUAGUAAUCGCAGAUCAGCAACGCUGCGGUGAAUACGUUCCCGGGCCUUGUACACACCGCCCGUCAAGUCACGAAAGUUGGUAACACCCGAAGCCGGUGGCCUAACCCUUGUGGGGGGAGCU
rnacentral:rRNA from 1 species